AUCUAGUUGACGAGUUCCAAAUAGGACGAAAUGCGCAUCCUGAAU
rnacentral:hammerhead_ribozyme from 1 species